AUCCCCUUCCCCCACCCCCUCCCCUCUGAAGUCUUCAGUUUGUUUCUCAUAGUCCAUAGUCUCUCAUGUUUCAUUCCCCCUUCUGAUUACCCCCCUUUUCUUUAUCCCUUUCUUCCCCUACCGAUGCUCCUAGUUCUUAUGUACCAUAGAUGAGAAAAAUCAUAUUAUAA